GACGAACCGUGCUAACGUUAUUCGGAAUCACUGGGCUUAAAGCGCGUGUAGGCGGAUGGGGACGUCGGUCGUUGAAAGCCCCCGGCUUAACCGGGGAACUGGCACCGAAACGCCCCGUCUGGAGGGACGUAGGGGGACCUGGAACUUCCGGUGGAGCGGUGAAAUGCGUUGAGAUCGGAAGGAACGCCCGUGGCGAAAGCGAGGUCCUGGACGUUUUCUGACGCUGAGACGCGAAAGCUAGGGGAGCGAACGGG
rnacentral:rRNA from 1 species